rnacentral:tRNA from 1 species
GCCCCCAUCGUCUAGUGGCCUAGGAUGCAAGAUUCUCAGUCUUGAGACCGGGGUUCAAAUCCCCGUGGGGGUACCA